rnacentral:rRNA from 1 species
GAUGAACGCUGGCGGCGUGCCUAAUACAUGCAAGUCGAGCGAACGGACGAGAAGCUUGCUUCUCUGAUGUUAGCGGCGGACGGGUGAGUAACACGUGGAUAACCUACCUAUAAGACUGGGAUAACUUCGGGAAACCGGAGCUAAUACCGGAUAAUAUUUUGAACCGCAUGGUUCAAAAGUGAAAGACGGUCUUGCUGUCACUUAUAGAUGGAUCCGCGCUGCAUUAGCUAGUUGGUAAGGUAACGGCUUACCAAGGCGACGAUGCAUAGCCGACCUGAGAGGGUGAUCGGCCACACUGGAACUGAGACACGGUCCAGACUCCUACGGGAGGCAGCAGUAGGGAAUCUUCCGCAAAGGGCGAAAGCCUGACGGAGCAACGCCGCGUGAGUGAUGAAGGUCUUCGGAUCGUAAAACUCUGUUAUUAGGGAAGAACAUAUGUGUAAGUAACUGUGCACAUCUUGACGGUACCUAAUCAGAAAGCCACGGCUAACUACGUG